rnacentral:rRNA from 1 species
ACACUAUGUGUUGUUGGGUAGGGGAGCGUUCUGUAAGCCUGUGAAGGUGGCCUGUGAGGGUUGCUGGAGGUAUCAGAAGUGCGAAUGCUGACAUAAGUAACGAUAAAGCGGGUGAAAAGCCCGCUCGCCGGAAGACCAAGGGUUCCUGUCCAACGUUAAUCGGGGCAGGGUGAGUCGACCCCUAAGGCGAGGCCGAAAGGCGUAGUCGAUGGGAAACAGGUUAAUAUUCCUGUACUUGGUGUUACUGCGAAGGGGGGACGGAGAAGGCUAUGUUGGCCGGGCGACGGUUGUCCCGGUUUAAGCGUGUAGGCUGGUUUUCCAGGCAAAUCCGGAAAAUCAAGGCUGAGGCGUGAUGACGAGGCACUACGGUGCUGAAGCGACAAAUGCCCUGCUUCCAGGAAAAGCCUCUAAGCAUCAGGUAACAU